GACGAACGCUGGCGGCGUGCUUAACACAUGCAAGUCGAACGGAAAGGCCCUGCUUUUGUGGGGUGCUCGAGUGGCGAACGGGUGAGUAACACGUGAGUAACCUGCCCUUGACUUUGGGAUAACUUCAGGAAACUGGGGCUAAUACCGGAUAGGAGCUCCUGCUGCAUGGCGGGGGUUGGAAAGUUUCGGCGGUUGGGGAUGGACUCGCGGCUUAUCAGCUUGUUGGUGGGGUAGUGGCUUACCAAGGCUUUGACGGGUAGCCGGCCUGAGAGGGUGACCGGCCACAUUGGGACUGAGAUGCGGCCCAGACUCCUACGGGAGGCAGCAGUGGGGAAUAUUGCACAAUGGGCGGAAGCCUGAUGCAGCAACGCCGCGUGCGGGAUGACGGCCUUCGGGUUGUAAACCGCUUUCGCCUGUGACGAAGCGUGAGUGACGGUAAUGGGUAAAGAAGCACCGGCUAACUACGUG
rnacentral:rRNA from 1 species